GGUGCCAGAAGCUCGUUUUCCUGCAUCUAUCGUCACUUUUGUGGAAAGCUACAAGCGUUUUCUGGAGGGCGGGUGCCCCAGCGCCAAACGCCGGGAGAACGUGGGGUCUGCUGUGAAUCGGGUCAGUUGUUUUCUCCAGCGUAUGGCGUCUGGUUGUAAUCAGCUGGGCACCUGGCUCUUCCUGGAUGACGUUGGGCGUAUUCAAAGUUGUGCGCACGAGCUGAUGUCGCAGGGGAGAACCGUCACCACUGCCUGCACUCAUCUCAAGAACGUGUACCAGUUCCUCGAGUAUUUUACAGAAACUCCUCCACCAUCAUGCAGGUUGUCAAGAGCCCAGCAAAUCGGUGUCUUGAGGGCAUUGAAGAACUGCAUUCGCCAGCUGCGUAAAGACGUGGUGCUUCACCAAAUAACAGUUAAAGAUGCCAAGGUGUCGCGCAUCAUUUCAGCACAGACCCUAACAAAGUGCCGGGACUU